AUUUGGCUUUAUUAAUUGCGUGAUAACUCCAAGUUUUAUUUGAAAUUUUAAUUUAUUGUUCCUUUUAAUUUGUUUUUGCUCAUAUUUUCACUUUUGUGUAAUCUCAAUGAUAUUUAGGAGUACCAGUCGAAAUUGGCUGAUUAUUUCAUUUACUUUGGUGAAUAACAAUUAUCUGCAUGUUUUACCCUGGCAGCAUCUUAAUCAUCCUGAUUUCUUCCUCAAGAUAACAUCCGGGAACAAGAUGAAAUUCAUUAUUUACAGCAACCAACCUUAGAAGGAUCAAGAUGCCACUUUAAACUCUAUUAGCCUGGAGGAACAAUAAACUAAAUUACAAAUCAGGGAAAAUCUGCUUGAAGAUCCAUUGAAAUCAGUAAAAUUCAAUCAAUGAGCUUACAGUGUUUAACUGUAACUGUCAUCUUUCAUACAGUUGGGUUUAAUUUUCAACGGUCAAAGGAUGGUUGAAUAUAUUUGUUUUUGAUUAACUAGUUAAUAGACCAAACUGUUUCUAAAGGAGGCUCACAUGAAGCUAGGAUGGUAAAAAUUAACAAUCUCAAUCCAUUCUUCAGGAAGCGACAUUACAUUGACAUUAAAUUGAUUGCCGUUAUCAACCCUAUUUAAAUUAUCCACUCAUUUGGAUACAGUUAAAUAGUCUGGUUGCGUUUCAUUCAUUGAUUCAAACUGAUUUUGACAUAACCGUGAGAUUAUACCCAAACAAACCAAAUAAUGGGCAAGCUAAGCUGUUUUAACCGUUUCAUCAAUCAUAACCUAGGCUGACUUAACAGAUCUGAUUGAUGAUAUUAUUGUUGUUGUUGUUUCAAUUACUUUCUCAGUGUACUUCAUGCUGAAACUGGGUAAACCUAAUUUUAACCGCAA